UACGUAGGGGGCUAGCGUUGUCCGGAUUUAUUGGGCGUAAAGAGCGUGUAGGCGGCCUGGUAGGUCUGCUGUGAAAACUCGAGGCUCAACCUCGAGAUGUCGGCGGAAACCAUCUGGCUAGAGUCCGGAAGAGGAGAGUGGGAAUUCCUGGUGUAGCGGUGAAAUGCGCAGAUAUCAGGAAGAACACCUAUGGCGAAAGCAGCUCGCUGGGACGGUACUGACGCUGAGGAGCGAAAGCAUGGGUAGCGAACAGG
rnacentral:rRNA from 1 species